rnacentral:lncRNA from 1 species
UCUACCAUUUAACUUUAAGCCACGGCAGGCAUGUCCUUGAGCCAGGGGUCAAGGGGCUUUCCAAUGGAGUAAACAAUGAAGCCGAUCUCCCGCAUCUUCUCAGCAUCAAUUACGUUGCGACCGUCAAACAAGAAUGCAGGUUUCUGCAUGCUAUCAUAGAUCUUCUUGUAGUCGAGUGUCUUGAACUCAUCCCACUCAGUCAAGAUGCAGAUACCAUGCGCCCCCUUGGUGGCUUCAUACGCAUCCCAGGUCACAGAGACCUGCUUCACUGCGGUUGGGCUCAUUGGCUGCAGGUGGAUUGGGUGGUCCCAGUCGAACUUGUUCAUCGCGAGAUCACGUUGGAUCUGUUCCUCUGUCACCUGCGGGUCGUAGAUGCUAAUCUUAGCUUUGUCUCCAAGGAGUCCCUUACAGACAUCAAUGGCGGCGGUCUCCCUCGUGUCACCGGUAUCCUUCUUGAAUGCAAAACCGAGAACUGCAAUCUUCUUUCCAGAGACAGUGUUGAACAUAGAAGACACAACACGGUUCACGAAUCUGCUCUUCUGGUAAUCAUUGAUCUUGAUAACCUGCUUCCAGUAGUUGGCGACCUCAGGCAGUCCAUUGCACUCACAGAUGUAUACAAGGUUGAGGAUGUCCUUCUGGAAGCAUGAGCCUCCAAAACCAACACUAGCAUUCAAGAAUUUGGGUCCAAUCCUUGAAUCCUUGCCAACAGCAUAGGCCACCUCUGCCACAUUGGCACCAGUGGCCUCACACAGAGCAGAGAUUGCAUUCACUGAUGAGAUCCUUUGAGCCAAGAAGGCAUUUGCAGCAAGCUUGGACAGCUCCGCUGACCAUAGGUUGGUUGUGAGAAUACGGUCCUCAGGGACCCAAUUGGCAUAUACAUCCUUCAGGGCCUUAACAGCCUUCUGGCCCUCUGGAGUCUCCCGACCACCGAUGAGCACACGGUCAGGCUUGAAAAGGUCCUCAAUUGCUGUGCCCUCCGCAAGGAAUUCAGGGUUUGAGAGGAUCUGGAACUUGAUUCCCUUGCUAUUGUGUGCCAAGAUCUUCUCAAUGGCUUCAGCAGUCUUGACAGGGACAGUGGACUUCUCAACCACAAUCUUGUCGGACUUGGCCACAUCUGCAAUCAUGCGGGCUGCACUCUCCCAGUAGGUUAGAUCCGCGGCUUUGCCAGCCCCAAGACCACGGGUCUUGGUUGGUGUGUUUACAGAGACAAAGAUGAUAUCAGCCUCAGCAACAUGCUUCUCAAUAUCAUUGCUGAAGAAGAGAUUCCUGCCACGGCACUGCUUGACCACUUCAUCAAGGCCUGGUUCAUAAAUAGGGAGCUGAUCGCUGUUCCAUGCUGCGAUGCGUGGAACAGAAAUGUCGACGACACAAACUUCAAUAGCAGGGCAUUUCAGUGCAAUGACAGCCAUGGUUGGGCCGCCAACAUAUCCAGCACCGAGGCAGCAUAUCUUCACCAUCUUUCUUAAACUAUCCGAGUAACUGCACGUGGAAAAUGAGAAUACUGACAUUAGUUACCUUAGAAAGCAUGAUUCAUUGUGGCAAGAGAUUUUGGAGCUGUAAGAAGUAUGGUGAAGACAAUGAUAAAUUAUGUCAGGUAUUAAGAAUUAAGUGCACAAGGUUUCAGGUUGUCGUCAGCAUUAACAACUAUUUUAUUUGCUGGAAAACUGGUAUGAGCAAAUAGUUAACAACAAAAUCUUGACAUAUUAUGCACAAAGACUCCAAAUUAUUUAUUCUCCCAGAUAUUUCACAGAAGAUUUUCGAGCUGUAAAAGAAGUAAGGUGAAGACAAUAAACAAAUCAUUUCAGAUAUACUAAGAAUUAAGUGCACAAGGUUUCCGGUUGUCGUUAGCAUUAACAACCAUUUUAUUUGAUCGAAAAGCCGGUAGAGCAAAUAGAUAACAACAAAAUCUUGAUAAACUGAACUAUUGAUACAAUAGAAGAGAUGUAGGGUGCAAUGGUGUGCAUCCAUUGAAUAGCAGCUGACAUUCACAUUAUGGAAAUGUAUCAACCUAGUGAGACUUGUGUCAACAGAGAUCAGACGAUUCAUUCUUGGCAUAAUAAGCCACCAAUACUACCAAGAGCAAUUUUGGCAGGCAUGCUGGCUCAUGCAUAUGCUUCAGAUUACCAAUAUUAGGCCAAAGCCCGUAGCUUUUUAGCACCCAACAUCCACAUAUAGACAAGGAACUCUGAGCAUAUAAUUCUUUUGGAGAAAAAGAAUGACCGUGUAAAUUCAUCAAAUGAUUCAGUGCACAGUUGUGUUAAGUAAAGACUGAAUCAUGAACAAGAACAAUAGUUAUUAGCCAUGGUGCCAGGUGGAGAUCUGACAUUUGGUGAUAAACCAAACGUCAUGACCAGAUUGUCUCGCUUGUUGGCAUUUGGCAAUGCACAUUGACGGCGACCAUUUCGUGUUUUCGACCUCCUUGAUUCUUCUGGCAACCAAAACAAUCUUGAAUGCAGGCCAAAAAAAAAAACAAGCCAUCUAUAGAGCGUAAACAUAUAGAGCCAGAUUUUGCAAGCCAUCUCGUGAGACUAACCAAUCCCGGGGGUGGGUUGGGGGGGGGGGGGGGGGGGGGGGGGGGGGUCGGUGAUCCUUGGGGUACAGUUGACCCCGCGCCCCCAGACAAAGAGAAAUGGAAAAUGAACUAAACAGCACGCAAGAAAUGGUUCGUAAACCUGGUGGAGGAUGGUCAGAGCACCAAUCCCAGAUAGAAGUUACUCGGAUUUGGGUGCUCAGUCGCAGCGAAGGGAAGGUUUCCGCAAAGCAGAAAUGGACUGAAUGACUAGGUGGGAUUACCGGAACAGGGGAAAAUCCGAGACCAGAGAGAGCAAGCGAGGCAUACCUCCUGAAGUUCUCCUGACCAACCGGACCUCGGCGGCCGUCUUCUCCGCCUCGCCGCGAGAUCUGGAUCUGUCUGAGGUCGGAGUGGAAGAGGAGCCUCGUGUUCGUGUCC